GACGAACGCUGGCGGCGUGCUUAACACAUGCAAGUCGAACGGAAAGGCCCCUUUGGGGGUACUCGAGUGGCGAACGGGUGCGUAACACGUGAGUAACCUGCCCUUGACUUCGGGAUAACUUCAGGAAACUGGGGCUAAUACCGGAUAGGAAUCCUUGCUGCAUGGUGGGGGUUGGAAAGCUUCGGCGGUUUUGGAUGGACUCGCGGCUUAUCAGCUUGUUGGUGGGGUAGUGGCUUACCAAGGCUUUGACGGGUAGCCGGCCUGAGAGGGCGACCGGCCACAGUGGGACUGAGAUACGGCCCAGACUCCUACGGGAGGCAGCAGUGGGGAAUAUUGCACAAUGGGCGGAAGCCGGAUGCAGCAACGCCGCGUGCGGGAUGACGGCCUUCGGGUUGGAAACCGCUUUCAGCAGGGGCGAAGCUUGUGGUGACGGUACCUGCAGAAGAAGCACCGGCUAACUACGUG
rnacentral:rRNA from 1 species